UAUAAUAUCCUUUUUUUUAAAUGGAUCUGAUUGCAUUGAUUUCCUUGUGAGGCCGUUUCUUAGUAAUGCGUAUAUGCUUGUGACCGUGUGAGGUGCUGCACAGAAAGCAUUGUACUCUGCUCUCUCGGGAUGGGAGAAUGUUUUGUUUUUUGAGCUCUUUCACACCAGCUCUCCCUCUCCUUUUUUUUUUUUUUUUUUCAUUUUUUAACACAAUAGCCCUCUCUCCUCUCACCCAGCGUGGCAACCCUUUCAAACGGGAAGCUCCAGGUCAGUUUCCCUUGCCAAGUUUUGCAGCCUGCCAUGUUGUCUAUUCUGCUCAGCUAUUUAAAAAAUGUUGAAUAUCAACAAUGGCUUUCACUGGUGCAUUGUCAACUUUUGUAUGAAGCAAUCUUGGCUGAAUGAGAUGGGUCCCAGAGCAGGGAGAGCUCAGCUGCAGUGUGCACUACCACACCAGUGACUGCCCGGCUCUCUUGCUCUUUAUAUAUUUCUCUGCUGCAGGGAGCUGCCAUGGUUGUGGUGCUGCCGUGUGAAUGUGGUUGGAGUCUGGGGUGAGUCUCUGGGCUGUGGAUGUCACCGCUAUCUUCCAGGCCAUGGUCCUGCUCCUGGCCCUGCUGACAGCCAGCUGUUGAAGGUGUGUCUUACAGAGGGAUUGGGAAGCAGCAGCAGCAGCAGCAGCAGCUUUGGGACCAGUCAGACCUUGGAGGAGGGAGAUGGCUGGUCAGGACUCGCUGGUGCCAGAGGUCCACCUGCAGUAGCUGACGACUCCACUGACAGCCCAGCAGGGGACAGCGAGGGUGAUGGUCUUCACACCUCUCUGGAAUAAUUAGAAGGCUUGUGAGUUCAGAUGUCCUCAUGCUCUGGAGUGGCCUGUUAUUCCUGUCCCUGAGGGUGUGUUCCCAGCACAGCGGCUCCUGUAACAUAGGCAGGUGGAAACAUGGAGGCACAGACAGCACUUGGAUCC